CGGAAAUAUGGAUCGUAUCGGAAAUAUAAAUAUUAUCCAAGUCGUAGAUGUUGCCGGAAACGGAAACAUGGUACGUAUCGGAAAAUAUUAAUGGAAAUGGAAAUAUUGCCGGAAUCGGAAAUAUUACCGGAAACGGAAAUAUUGUCUGAAUCGGAAAUAUUAUCGGAAUCGGAGAAUAAUUCCGGAAACGGAAAUAUUAAAUAUUUGUUCGAAACGGAAAUUAAUUCCGGAAUCGGAAAUGUUAAAUAUUGUUCGUAUCGGAAAUGAAAUCCGGAAUCGGGAAAUUAAUCGGAAGCGCGUCGUACGAAUUAGCAUCGGACGAGCUUGCUAGACGAAGGCCCAGCACGAAGCCAGGCCCACGUCCAGCAAGAGAAACGCGCGCCACAAAGCACCAGCCAAGGCUGCGCCAGGCGCACCGCAAGGCAGGCCCAGCGCGCGCCAAGGCUGCGGCAGCGUGUGGGCUUCGUGGCAGUGAGCUGCGAGUGCUCCUGGGCUGCGCGUGCGCGCACAUGGCGCCCCUCGUGGGCUGCUGUGCGUGCGUGUGUGUAUUUGUGUUCACAUACGAAACCUAAAGCGUAUAGGAUUCAUUUAAUGAUUAAAUUCCUAAUCCUAAAAGAUAAAUUAAUUAAAUAAGAGUUCUACUAGGAUUCUAAUUUAAUUAAUUCGUAUCCUAGUAGGAUUCCAAUUCUCUUUCCAUACCCCUAUAAAUAUGUGGCCUGGGGUCACAAUUUAUAACGAGUUUUGAAGUAUUCAAAGUGAUUUUUGAGAGAAAAAAUUCAGUCACAUUCUUGCCAAUAAUUGCCGAAAAUUAUAGUACCUUAAGGGCGAUUCUAGUUGGUCAAGCUUAAGGCGGAUCCGGACGUGCUGUGGGCUAUCUACGGAGGGACGACACUUGGAGUCCUAAAGACUUGUUCUUGUUCGGUUCGGGCGCAGCUAGGGAGGGCACGCUACAAAGUGUAUGCACCUAAAUUAUGCUAUAUGAUUAUGUGUAAAUAAUAUGUUUCCUGGCUUUAUGGUUUUUCCGCAUGAUUUAUGUUUAUUCAUAUGUAUCAUAACCUAACACGAGUGUCCCUUCAGCAUAGUAUGAGGGGCAGGCUUGUCCCUAAGGACCCACCGGAGACCAUGUUGGCGCGAGAUGAAGAUGUCGCCCAGCUCUAUUUGAAUGCUGGGGGCGAUGAUGUUUGUCUCCCUUGGGAGAACUUUGUAGAUAGAAGGGGCCGUCAUGAGGACCUUUUGAAGAGGCUUGCUCCACCUGUACGCUUCGUACCGCCGGAGUAGGAGACGGACCCCGAGGAUAUUCCCUAUGCUGACAGGGUUAUCCGUUAUGAGAACUCGGAUGGGGAGCAGGUGGAGGUGACCGUUCCUGUAGCUUCUCCUCCACACCGGAGGUCGUAUGAUGCUGUACCGGAGCAUUAUGCAGCUGCGCCUCGGGUGAGAGUGUGUCGUUGGAUGCUCAUAAUUGAUUCCUUGAAGAGGCAUUGUGCCAAGCUGACCCAGAAGCUUACUGGCCGGGACAGAGAGGAGCGUCGUCGAGGUCGCAGAGGUUCCGUUGACAGGGAGCCCCAGGCGGAGACUUCAGCAGGGCAGUCGGGACCGAGCUUAGGUCUUGGCACUAGUACUCAUUAGAGGCAUUCUGAUGUUGACAAGGGAGGUGUUCCCUUUGUAUAUGUGGACCCUACCAGGCAUUAUUUCGGAGAUCAGGGCAGUUCGAUGCCUUUUGCGCCACCCCCUAGUCCUUUCUUCGGAGCUAGCAGCUCUCAGCCUUGGAGUUUUAAUUCUUGGGCUUACUGGUGUGAGAUGGAGCGGAUGCGACAGGCCCAGACCUUUGGGGCGCAGCGCCAGUUCAUGACGAUGCCGCAGCCUUUUCGGUACCCUUAUCCUCAGCAGGAGAUCUACCGCUCUCUCGGUACUCUUCGUAUUUCGGAGCAGGAGCCUGAUACCCCUGGGACAGAGCUAGAUCAGGAUCUGGAGCGCUUUAGGAGCCGAAACAGGAACAAGGAGCCUGUGGUUGACAUUACGGCUAUUGAUCCUACAUGGUAGUGAGUUCCAGCUUUCCUCGGUUGGGUUUUGUAUGGAUUGCAUUCGUAUGGAUUGUAUUUUGUA